rfam:Podiceps cristatus contig12233, whole genome shotgun sequence.
UUAUAGGCUCUUUUUUGAAAGGAGCCACUCAUAAAUUAAGUAAUAUUUUUU